UACGUAGGUCCCAAGCGUUGUCCGGAUUUAUUGGGCGUAAAGCGAGCGCAGGUGGUUUCUUAAGUCUGAUGUAAAAGGCAGUGGCUCAACCAUUGUGUGCAUUGGAAACUGGGAGAUUUGAGUGCAGGAGAGGAGAGUGGAAUUCCAUGUGUAGCGGUGAAAUGCGUAGAUAUAUGGAGGAACACCGGAGGCGAAAGCGGCUCUCUGGCCUGUAACUGACGCUGAUGUGCGAAAGCGUGGGGAUCAAACAGG
rnacentral:rRNA from 1 species